GUUCCGUCAUAUUGACGGCUAAGAGGGAAACAGGUGUAAAUCCUGUGCGGACCCGCCACUGUAAGCGACGGCUUUGAGCAAAGUGCCACUGAGAGAAUUUGGGAAGGCGUUCAAGGCGAUAAUCGUGAGCCAGGAGACCUGCAUUCAAGA
rnacentral:ncRNA from 1 species